GAAAUGUUUAUAUCUUGAGGUGUAUACCACUUUUUUUCUUUUUCUUAUUCGUUGUCUUGUCUGAUUUUUUUGUUGGAACGAACUUGAUUGCGCACUUUGGCCGCACAGGCACAACAACUACCACCUCAUCACACUAUAAGACCGAUGUCGAUCGACGAGGGUAAGUUUUUGAGGUUGUAUCGAUCUUUAUGUGAAUUAGGGUGAAUAUGAGACUUUUCAGUAGCUCGAGAGUGCUCAGUUCUGAAGAAUCAAGCUAACUGUUUAAGGGAAGAAAGAAUAUGGUGUUGAUUUCAAAACAUGGUGUGUAAAAAUUCCCAAAACAUUUGGGGAAACCCCAUGCCCAUUUGAAAAUGAACAAACCAACAUUUAACCAUCGAACUUUUAAGAUUCAACUCAACAUGUUUGAACGAACUUGUAGCUUCGCAACUCAAACACAACACUCACACAAGCGCAUUGUAACAAGGGAAGGAAAACAAAAAUGAUACAACCGCUGCUGCCGCCGCCAGUGAACCACCAACCAACGAAACGUAAUGAGACCCUCAUUACUCGAGCGAGACAGAGCUACAUCAUAAUCCACUGCCACUGCAAAAUGGUCUUUCUUUCUUGCUAAGUAUUAGUGCGUGUGUUGUGUAUCCAAACAGCAAGGAGGUGGUAAGUCAGGUAAAAGCAUCUCAGUAAAAGAAGACAAACACUAAACAACAACAAAAAGAAGAAGAAGAAGUUUAUCAAUCGAACUUACCUUUUGACUGUGUCCACCAGCGCCG